CUCCACUUUUACUCAAGGAGCCCCGCCACUGAUACUGCAAGUAUGGUUCAGAACUAACCAAAUUCAAAGAUUCCGAUAAUGGAGGUGGCGGGGGAGGCGGGGAACUAGGUGGAGGAGGAAUAUUAGGUGGGUCAGGAUAAGGUGGUGGAGGCGGGGAUGAAGGUAAUGGAGGCUGCAAGACAGGUGGAGGUAAUGGGGGUAAUGAGUCGAGCUGAGGAGGUGGUGGUGGUAAAGACGUAACUGGUGGUCGAACAACAGGCACGGGAAACAUAUGAUCAAAUGGUGGCAUGGAGGUGCCUUGCAUCUGUGACAGUGGAGUCACAGAAGCAGGUACAAAUGGUGGUGCAACUGAACAAUGGUGGAGAUUAGUAGGAAGUGCACCAGAUGGAAUUGGAUUUGGAGGCAAGUUAUGGUUCAGACCACGUGAAUCCCACCCAGUUGGGGGGAAGUACAUUGGGAGCCCAAAGGGCGGCGGUUGUGCUUGCUGUGGUGGUGCAAUAGGAGGUCCUUGAAUUGGCUGUGCUGCUGCAGGAGGAAGUGCUUGAACUGGCGGCGGCACGGUAGG
rnacentral:lncRNA from 1 species